rnacentral:tRNA from 1 species
UAGAGAGUAGUAAAAUGGAAUUACGGGAGGCUUUGAUUCUCCAAUUGUAGGUUCGAUUCCUAC